rnacentral:SRP_RNA from 1 species
GCUGGGCGUGGUGGCUCACGCCUGUAAUCCCAGCACUUUGGGAGGCUGAGGUGGGUGGAUCACCUGAAGUCAGGAGUUCAAGACCAGCCUGACCAACAUGGAGAAACCCCAUCUCUA